CAGCAGUGGGGAAUAUUGGACAAUGGGGGGAACCCUGAUCCAGCGACGCCGCGUGAGUGAAGAAGUAUCUCGGUAUGUAAAGCUCUAUCAGCAGGGAAGAAAGAAAUGACGGUACCUGACCAAGAAGCCCCGGCUAACUACGUGCCAGCAGCCGCGGUAAUACGUAGGGGGCAAGCGUUAUCCGGAUUUACUGGGUGUAAAGGGAGCGUAGACGGUAAUGCAAGUCUGGAGUGAAAUGCAGGGGCUCAACCCCUGAACUGCUUUGGAAACUGUAUGACUGGAGUGCAGGAGAGGUAAGUGGAAUUCCUAGUGUAGCGGUGAAAUGCGUAGAUAUUAGGAGGAACACCAGUGGCGAAGGCGGCUUACUGGACUGUAACUGACGUUGAGGCUCGAAAGCGUGGGGAGCAAACAGGAUUAGA
rnacentral:rRNA from 1 species